UAUACUGCGCGUGCGCGGACCCAAUAGACCGCGCGUGCGCAAUGUGGGGUAGGGAAAUUUCACAGGAGAAAUGGCCAUAAAAUUUACCUACCCCUCAACUGCGCACGCGCGGACUCACAUCAUCAGCUCCAAACUUAUCUGGACACAGGUAUCAUAUGCCAUGGCAUGCUUUUUGCUACGAAACCGCAGCCAUCUAGUCACUCGCCAGAGAAGGAUGAGAAACUGCACCCCAGCGAGAGGGACUGCCCCACAUCAGCAACCAAAUCCGUCGGUCACCGAAUUCAGUAAUCUCCGUCUCUUUGUCCAUUCUCUCUGACAAGCAUGUUCUCCUAUGGGACACGAAGUACAUGAAGAGGAAUGAAG